UAAAGAAAGCCAGAUAGUAUGUCAUGUUAAUUAAGAGAGGUACAAUAAAAGUAAAUGUUCAAAGACUUUGAAACGGGAGACAUAGAGUAGAAGAAUGCAGAUGUACAUUCUUUGUCCAAUUAGAGGACCAUAUUCAGCCUCUAGAAAGUUAGAAGAGCAAGGACUAGAUUCUGUACUAUUGAAACCUACAGAGCUUUUUGUGUUAACUUCAGUGGCAGCACAAUGAGGACUCCUCUAAAGAGGGUAAAAACACUGCAAACUGAUGCAUCACAGGAAAUGUAGAGAUACCUAAUUUUAUUUGUGCCAGGUGUCAGACAAAGCUAUGCUGGAAGCCAAGGUGUUGAAAAAGCAGGAAAUGGUGAUAGGAAGAGACAGAUCCUCAGCUGCUGGUUGAGCAGGACUUGGCAUUGACUAAGAACAUGAGAGGAAAAAGAAUCCUUUCAGUGUGGAGAAGAAAAUUUUUGUUGAUGGGAAGAUGGAAAGUAACUCUUCUGCAAGCUUCUCAGAACAUAUGAAGAAAGAAAUAGAAGAAUAGGAAGCAAGCAUGCAUAAACCACAAGUCUUUUCUCAGAAGGUGAAUUAUGAUGAAGAUUGUUUAAGAAGAUAAGUAACCAUGAUGACCAAAGACUGCAUCAGUGAGCAGUGGCAUCAGAAGAAUUGGAACAGAAUGAUGAGAACUAGCUGAAACUGUGGAAUAUAAUGGCCUUUUGAAAUGGAUGAAGAAUUAAGAGCUGAGAGUUCCUGGGAAAACACCGAAGACUUUUUGUAUUUUAUGUUGUGUAGAAUCAUAUAUAGAGGGCGCUUUUUGUUAGCUGCUGCCACUCACUGAGGUGAUGGCCCAACUCUGACUUGUUAAGAAAGCAAGCCUAGAGAUACCCAAGGGCUGGCGAAAUUCUUUAACAAAGAUGCUAAAGGUUUGGAGGAUAAACCCAACCAAAUAAACUAACAGAAGAAAAGUCCAUUAAAUGUAAGGACUGUUAAGAAAAUUUCACUCACUGUCCACACUGCAGAAGCCUCCAAACCAGAUAUUACUGGGCCCAGGAGUGCUUGGGGACAACAUGCUUACCUUGUUUGUAAGCUCUUCCUUGGGCAUCCUCUGUUGGCUGUUGCUGGAAACCAGAUGCCAGGCUAGAGAAGUUUUAAGUUCCAAAUACAGUAGUUCUUCAUGCAAAUACUGUAGAAGAGCAGAUUAAGAGGCCAUGAAGUUUACUAUUAUGACAUGAUUCAGACUCAUGAAAGGUUAGAGAAAGACUGAUGACUUCAGGAAGAAAAAAAUCUUAAUCCAUAUAGCUGGAAAAUAGUGUCAAAACCAGUUAGGCGGUGAAGUAGGUCGCCCAUGUGUAAAUACCUAACACCAGCCCUCUGCAGGGUGGCCAUGCUGGUGUCUGAGAGUUCUGCUGGUGAUGAGCGGGACAGCUACUAGCUGCAAAGGCGUAUCAUGGAGCAGAGGGAGAGAACUUAGAAAGCAAGAAAAGAAAGAAAGAGCGCAUAGUGGCAGAAAGGUUACCUCCUUGUAGGAGGAGAAGCCGCCUCAAAAUCCUUCUCCAAAAAGGAAA